rnacentral:lncRNA from 1 species
UUUUGAGAAAUUUUUGUGUAAGAACGAACCUAACCUAUCAUCCUUACAAACAACAAAUUAAAAUAUGACACGUCGUUGUUUUCUUUUAAAAUAAUUAUAAAAAAAUAAAUCAACCCUUUUUCUCUCUCUCCACCACCACUAAUUCGUGAUCUUCCAUCACCAUUCACCACCAACACCAUUUAUGGUGGAAAAACAAUGAAGUGUCAUAUUUUAGUUUGUUGUUUGUAAGAAUGAUAGGUUAGGUUCGUUCCUACACAAAAAUUUCUC